AAAGUCGUAACAAGGUUUCCGUAGGUGAACCUGCGGAAGGAUCAUUAACGAGUUAGGGUCUUCUAGGCCCGACCUCCCAACCCUAUGUUUAUUGAACCUCUGUUGCUUCGGCGGACCCGCCUCACGGCCGCCGGAGGACCGCCGCAACGCGUCCUCUGGCCAGCGUCCGCCGAUGGCCAACCACUUAAACUCUGAAUGAAUCGUGUCAUAUGUCUAAGUCUAUGAUUAAAUUAAAGCAAAACUUUCAACAACGGAUCUCUUGGUUCUG
rnacentral:misc_RNA from 1 species